GUGUAGCUCAGUGGCAGAGCACUUGCCUAGCCUGCAGGAGGCCCUGGAUUUGAUUCCUAGCAC
rfam:Heterocephalus glaber contig148970, whole genome shotgun sequence.